rnacentral:rRNA from 1 species
GGCCGGUACAAAGGGCAGCGACACAGCGAUGUGAAGCCAAUACCCGAAAGCCGGUCUCAGUCCGGAUUGGAGUCUGCAACUCGACUCCAUGAAGUUGGAAUCGCUAGUAAUCGUGGAUCAGCACGCCACGGUGAAUACGUUCCCGGGCCUU